AUAGAGUCCCUAAAGAGGGCUUGAAAUUUGGGGAUCAUAUCUACUCUUGGAGGACUGCAUAUAUUUAUGCCCCAUCAGGGUUCUGUCAAUCUUUUUCUCCUUACUUUUUCCUUCAUAAUUUUUUGUUUGGUUUUAAAUUUCUUCAGUUGACAUGCUUGUCCUUUUAUGUUAUUUGGAAAUUAUGGCGUAAAGGAAGAUAACACUAGUGCUACCCUUGUUUCCGCAUUCUCUUAAACAAGGAAGAUAUUGCAAGUUUUGGGAUGUCAAUGGAUGUUGACAACAAAGCUCAUGAUACUAGAUCUACAUUAGAAAGGGCGAAUAGGUAGAUGGCUCCAAUAGAAGACUAAGAGGGCUUAGUUGAUUGGUUUCUAUCCACCAAACUCUGGACAGUGAUAAUCCAAGUGACAUGCUGGACUGAGUAUUUGUGACUAGAAGCACUAAUACCUAAUCUUUGGAUAGU